rnacentral:rRNA from 1 species
GCGGUAAUACGAAGGGUGCGAGCGUUGUUCGGAAUUAUUGGGCGUAAAGCGCGCGUAGGCGGCUGGGUAAGUCUGUCUGUGAAAGCCCGGGGCUCAACCCCGCGGACUGCAGGGGAUACUGCCUGGCUAGAGACGAGCAGAGGUUGGUAGAAUUCCGGGUGUAGCGGUGGAAUGCGUAGAGAUCCGGAGGAAUACCAGAGGCGAAGGCGGCCAACUGGGCUCGAUCUGACGCUGAGGUGCGAAAGCGUAGGGAGCGAACAGG